rnacentral:rRNA from 1 species
CAGCAGCCGCCGCGGGAAUACGUAGGUGGCAAGCGUUGUCCGGAAUUAUUGGGCGUAAAGGGCUCGCAGGCGGUUUCUUAAGUCUGAUGUGAAAGCCCCCGGCUCAACCGGGGAGGGUCAUUGGAAACUGGGAAACUUGAGUGCAGAAGAGGAGAGUGGAAUUCCACGUGUAGCGGUGAAAUGCGUAGAGAUGUGGAGGAACACCAGUGGCGAAGGCGACUCUCUGGUCUGUAACUGACGCUGAGGAGCGAAAGCGUGGGGAGCGAACAGGAUUAGAUACCCGGGUAGUCCCUGUCUCUUAUAA